rnacentral:rRNA from 1 species
AGUGAACGCUGGCGGUAGGCCUAACACAUGCAAGUCGAACGGCAGCACAGGAGAGCUUGCUCUCUGGGUGGCGAGUGGCGGACGGGUGAGGAAUACAUCGGAAUCUACUUUUUCGUGGGGGAUAACGUAGGGAAACUUACGCUAAUACCGCAUACGACCUACGGGUGAAAGCAGGGGACCUUCGGGCCUUGCGCGAUUGCAUGAGCCGAUGUCGGAUUAGCUAGUUGGCGGGGGAAAGGCCCACCAAGGGGACGAUCCGUAGCUGGUCUGGGAGGAUGGUCAGCCACACUGGAACUGAGACACGGUCCAGACUCCUACGGGAGGCAGCAGUGGGGAAUAUUGGACAAUGGGCGCAAGCCUGAUCCAGCCUUACCGCGUGGGUGAAGAAGGCCUUCGGGUUGUAAAGCCCUUUUGUUGGGAAAGAAAUCCAGCUGGCUAAUAACCGGUUGGGAUGACGGUACCCAAGGAAUAAGCACCGGCUAACUUCGUGCCAGCCGCCGCGGUAA